AGAUAACCUGAUUGAUCUUUUACUUUGGACCUUUUAAAGACAGAUUGGCUCCUGGAACUCCAAUAAAAAAUGCCUCAUAUGGGUGAUUGCUGCUAAUUACUGUCACUGUUAGUCUAUAAAACCCUGGACUUUCUAUUUCCAUGAUAUUAUUUGGCACCUGCAGUUAAACAGUCUGAUGGAUCUUUUGCUAUGGACAUUUUGAACAAAGGAUUCGUAAAAAGGCAGAAAGGAACACUGGAUGGGUUGCCAAUCUUUUAAGGAAUAAAACAUUGAAAGAUGUAACUAAAAUAACCAGAAAAAUAAAUGCUGACCCUGCUGAAUAAGUUUUAUUGUUGAUUAUCUUCAUUACUUUGGGUUUAACUGUCUUGUUUUAUUCCCUCAAAUU